UGAGAGUCCUGAAGGAACGUUGAAGACGACGACGUUGAUAGGCCGGAUGUGUAAGCGCAGCGAUGCGUUGAGCUAACCGGUACUAAUGAACCGUGAGGCUUAACCUUACAACGCCGAAGCUGUU
rnacentral:rRNA from 1 species